GAGCGUCAUCUCUCGCGCUGCGCAUUCCUGGGGGUGACUUUAAUUGGAUCCCUGCCUGUGCUGAGAGUCGCCAGGUAUAUCAAGUGUCACGCCACCUGGAGGGCUACACUUCAACCCUUGACAUGGAGCGACGCAUCUUGUUGUCUGUGCUGCUGGUUCUAAGCUGCAUGGUGGCAGUGAACCUCGUGAACUCCUUGCCCAGUUACCCUCAAUCCCUUAAGGGGCGAGUAUCCUUCUCUGUCUUCAAGAAUGGUGGAGCCUUUACCCUUGAAAUCUGGCUAUGGUGGAGGCUACAGUAGUGGUGGUGAUGGUGGUAGAGGGCGUGGGGGUAGUGGUGCUGCAAGAGGUUAUGGUGGGGGGAUAUGGCAAUCAAAAGCAGAGGUCCCCAGCAUAUCAACAAGAGUCCCGCGUUGUUUUCAAGCCCUGAAUCUCCUACUCCUGUCCUUGCCUGACUGUCCAGCCCUCCUUGGUGUCCGUGGCAGGCUAAACUAGCUGGUGAACUCCCGCACCAUCAGGAGAAACAUGCUGCACCCAACCCCAAGGACACCAAGGGAAUAUAACUGGCAUACGGACUGACUGACUGACUGAAUAACUGAGUGGAUAACAGGAUAGCGGUCGUACGGUUUUGUUCUUCACGUGUCUCUCUCGUUAUCUUAUUGGGCAGUUAAUGGCUAAAUUGUUUAUCCUCAUUUCUUUGCUUUCCUUCCCAGUAAUUAAUAAAAAAAUAAUAAUGA